GUUUCCCUUAAUCACUCAAGUGUUUAAGGUGACACUCAAACUCUCUAUUGUUCACAAGUCACAUGAAACAAAAUUGCCAUUCAUCUCAAACAAUCAACAUCUUUACAUGCAAAUGCCAUCAAAAGGACUUUUCCAAGGCUUGUAAUGAGGUUGGGCUAACAAGGAAGAAUUGGUUUUUCUAGAAUGCAAAAUCCUUGAGUCAAGAGAGCUAUCAAAAUAUUCAACAUUUAAGCACAACUCUCUCACCAAUUUCUCAUGAAUUUUUCUUUUCACAAUAUUUGAGCUCAAUGCUUUUCACUUGCUUUUUCAAUUUUCCCCCGUACAACCCCAAACUUGAACCUUUUCAUCUCAUACAAUUAAGCUCAUCCCAACUCAAGGUAAAGAAUUUCAAAACAAGGGUUCACAUCUUGUUUAAGGCUAAGGUUCA
rnacentral:lncRNA from 1 species